rnacentral:rRNA from 1 species
CCGUUGUCCGGGUGUUGGAAGUCCCGGUCCUUGCAUUGGAGAAGGCGCUUAGGCAAAUCCGGGCGCGGAAUUCAAGGGUGUGAGGCGAGCGGCUUAGGCCGCGAAGCAAUCGGAAGUGGUUCCAAGAAAAGCCUCUAAGCUUCAGUCUAACAAGACCGUACCGCAAACCGACACAGGUGGGCGAGAUGAGUAUUCUAAGGCGCUUGAGAGAACUCGGGAGAAGGAACUCGGCAAAUUGGUACCGUAACUUCGGGAUAAGGUACGCCCUUGUAGCUUGACUGGCCUGCGCCAGGAGGGUGAGAGGGUUGCAAUAAACUGGUGGCUGCGACUGUUUAAUAAAAACACAGCACUCUGCAAACACGAAAGUGGACGUAUAGGGUGUGACGCCUGCCCGGUGCCGGAAGAUUAAAUGAUGGGGUGCAAGCUCUUGAUUGAAGUCCCGGUAAACGGCGGCCGUAACAAUAACGGUCCUAAGGUAGCGAAAUUCCUUGUCGGGUAAGUUCCGACCUGCACGAAUGGCGUAACGAUGGCCACACUGUCUCCUCCCGAGACUCAGCGAAGUUGAAGUGUUUGUGAUGAUGCAAUCUCCCCGCGGCUAGACGGAAAGACCCCAUGAACCUUUACUGUAGCUUUGCAUUGGACUUUGAACCGAUCUGUGUAGGAUAGGUGGGAGGCUAUGAAACCGGAACGCUAGUUUCGGUGGAGCCGUCCUUGAAAUACCACCCUGGUUUGUUUGAGGUUCUAACCUUGUCCGUUAUCCGGACUGGGGACAGUGCAUGGUAGGCAGUUUGACUGGGGCGGUCUCCUCCCAAAGUGUAACGGAGGAGUACGAAGGUACGCUAGGUACGGUCGGAAAUCGUGCUGAUAGUGCAAUGGCAUAAGCGUGCUUAACUGCGAGACCGACAAGUCGAGCAGGUGCGAAAGCAGGUCAUAGUGAUCCGGUGGUUCUGUAUGGAAGGGCCAUCGCUCAACGGAUAAAAGGUACUCUGGGGAUAACAGGCUGAUACCGCCCAAGAGUUCAUAUCGACGGCGGUGUUUGGCACCUCGAUGUCGGCUCAUCUCAUCCUGGGGCUGUAGCCGGUCCCAAGGGUAUGGCUGUUCGCCAUUUAAAGAGGUACGUGAGCUGGGUUUAAAACGUCGUGAGACAGUUUGGUCCCUAUCUGCCGUGGGCGUUGGAUAUUUGAAGGGGGCUGCUCCUAGUACGAGAGGACCGGAGUGGACGAACCUCUGGUGUACCGGUUGUCACGCCAGUGGCAUCGCCGGGUAGCUAUGUUCGGAAGAGAUAACCGCUGAAAGCAUCUAAGCGGGAAACUCGCCUUAAGAUGAGAUAUCCCCGGGGACUUGAUCCCCUUGAAGGGUCGUUCUAGACCAGGACGUUGAUAGGUCAGGUGUGGAAGUGAAAAAC